GCCCGAGUGGCGCAAUGGCAGCGCAACCGAUUUGUAAUCGGUAGGUUAGCGGGUUCGAAUCCCCUCUCGGGCUCCA
rnacentral:tRNA from 1 species